rnacentral:rRNA from 1 species
UACGUAGGGUGCGAGCGUUAAUCGGAAUUACUGGGCGUAAAGCGUGCGCAGGCGGUUCGUUGUGUCGGCGGUGAAAGCCCCGGGCUCAACCUGGGAAUGGCCGUUGAAACUGGCGAACUGGAGUGUGGCAGAGGGGGGUGGAAUUCCGCGUGUAGCAGUGAAAUGCGUAGAGAUGCGGAGGAACGCCGAUGGCGAAGGCAGCCCCCUGGGCUGACACUGACGCUCAUGCACGAAAGCGUGGGGAGCAAACAGG